rnacentral:rRNA from 1 species
UACAUGGGGUGCAACGUUGCUCGGAAUUAUUGGGCGUAAAGCGCACGUAGGCGGUUGUUAAGUCGGAUGUGAAUCCCUCGGCUCAACUGGAGGAAGUGCAUCCGAAACUGGCAAGCUUGAGUACGAAAGAGGGUCGCGGAAUUCCCGGUGUAGAGGUGAAAUUCGUAGAUAUCGGGAGGAACACCGGUGGCGAAGGCGGCGACCUGGUCGGU